UUCACGCCGACCAGAAUCAGAAGAUUCAGAACUAGCCCAACCUCGCAACGCCCGUGAAUCAUCUCAGGCGCAAAGCGAAUUAGACCGGACAGUUGAUCAGAUUCCGAGCAUUUGUAUCAGUUUGCUUGCUAGUUACUGUGAAGGAUGGGAUCCUUGACAAAUCUUGCUCCGCCCAAAUACAAGAGGCGGAGGGUUUCUUGUAAACGGGAUUUUCCACCUGGGUGUGGACGGAAUGCUCCACGUAUCAAUCUGAAGCCUAGGGAUUCUGAGGUUGUACCAUCACUUGAUGAUAAAGAGAACUCGAUGGCUGGUGAAAAGAAAGUGGAUGUUGCAAGCGGGGAUUGUGUUAAAGCUUCUGAAAAUGAGAAUGGCUUAUUAUCUCAUCAAGUGGUGAAAACUGCUGUACGGGAUUUUCCACCUGGGUGUGGUCCGAGUGCUCCGUGUAUCAAAAUUCAGGCUGGGGAUUCUGAGGCAGUGGCAUCACUUGGUGACAAAGAUAAUUCCUUGGCUGAUAAAAAGAGAGUGAAUGCUACGAACGGGGAUGGUGUUAAAGCUUUUGAAAAUGGAGAAGAGUCAUUAUCUCAACAAGUGGUUAAGGAUUUUCCUCCUGAGUGUGGAAAGAAUGCACGACACAUCACUCUGAAGGCCGUGGGUACCGAGGCAGUGGCCUCAUUGGGUGGCAAAGAGAAUUUGAUUGCUGAUGAAAAGAAAGUAAAUGUUGCUGAGGGUGAUUGUGUUAAAGCUAUUGAAAGUGGGAAUGAGUCUGUAUCUCAGCAAGUGGUACAAAGUGCAGUGGAGUUAGAACCACCCACCACUUUGGAUGAUUUGGUGGGGAGGGUGGUCGCUGCGAUUGGGGUCAAUGUCGAAUUUCCCUCCACUGUAAGGCCUCUGGGAAUUGGAUCGCCAAAAGUUUCAGAACUCAAGGAAUCAGAACUACCAAACGAGUUGCAUGAUACUGACGCACCAGCUGAAAGUAAGACAUCACUUGAGAUUGGGUCUAAAGCAGAUGGGAUGGUUCCGGCCAGUAGGUCAAAAGCAUGGUCUCCGCCUGAAUGGCCUAUUUGUGAUUCCAAAAUGUUGAAAGACCCUCCUUUGAGAAGCAAACUUCCUAGGAGAAGGGUUUCGGCUACCCGUGACUUCCCUCCCUUCUGUGGAAGGAAUGCUCCAUGCCCAACUGAGGAGGAGCGGCGGUGGAUUCUCUUGGGAAACAAGACUCCGUGUCCUCCAGAUAAGCCUGCUGCUGGUGAGAUUGAGCUGUUAAGAGGGACAGUGAAACCUAAAGAGGAAGAGAGUCCACCGAGAGAGACAUCAAGACCUGGAAUGGAAGAAUUGGAUGCUGAUGUUGGUGACGGGAUGAAAGAAACUUUGGCAGAACUAAAUUCCAAGGCUGAUGAGGAAGGUAAGCCUUCAAUAGUGGAACUGAGGGCUGAUGUUGAAGUUAGUCCAUUAGGAGAGAGAGAGGUCGCUGUUGUUGAAGAAUUGAAGGAGGACGUUAGGGACAGUCAUGCCCAAAAGAGGAAGUUAGAAGGAAGGAUUCCCGAUCAGAAAACCAAGUCUCAGAAAGUAAUUGGAAAGGAUGUUACUGGUGUCAAAGGGGAAGUGGGAAAGGAAAUUGUGGUUUACCGGCUUGGUAAAAGUUCUACGAAAAAGACUCCAGGCGGUGCUGCCAUUGCCUUGGCAGAUAAUUCUGACAGGGUGAUUGUGCAAGGCAUUAUGGCUGCACCAAAUUGUCCUUGGAGGCAGGGAAAAGGGGCUGCUGACCCUAGUCCAGGUACUGCUGUGACUGUUAGUGAGAAGAGAAGACAUGCCACCAGAUCCAUCACGCCGGAAGAGAAACCUAAAUCUGCCCUCACGCUAAAAGCUAAGAAGAAGUUACUUCCUUCCCACAAGGAAGCAUAUAAGGGUAAAGGCCAACUGGUGGUCAAGGAUUUGGGGGAUUUUGCUGUACAAGUGCGAAAUGAAAGUCCUUCUGGGGGCAAGAGACCGCAUGAUUUUGAGGUGGCCGUUCCUCCUUUUGGUCCUAACAGUUCAAGACAUGGUGAUGAGCGCAUCAAAGUGAGGGAAACAUUACGUCUCUUCCAAGCUAUUUGUAGGAAGCUAUUGCAAGCAGAAGAAGCAAAAUUGAGACAAAAAGGAGACCCUGCCAAAAGAAUUGAUUUGCUAGCGGCACAAAUUGUCAGAGAUAAAGGGAAAGAAGUUAAUACAGCAAAAUUUGCAAUAGGAUCUGUGCCUGGAGUUGAAGUAGGGGACGAAUUUCAAUACAGGGUAGAGUUGGCCCUUGUGGGGAUUCACCGGCUUUAUCAAGCUGGUAUUGAUUACACAAAACAUGGUAAGAUGAUCAUUGCAACAAGUAUCGUUGCUUCAGGGGUUUAUGCGGAUGAUUUAGAUAACCCUGAUGUUUUGACAUACUCUGGUCAAGGAGGGAUUGUAACGGGUAAGGAUAAACAACCCGAGGACCAAAAACUUGAAAGAGGGAACUUAGCUCUCAAGAAUAGUAUAACUACGAGGAAUCCGGUACGGGUAGUUAGAGGUUUUAAAGAGACAAAAACUUCAAAAACAGACUCAAAAGCCAAGGUGGUUCCGACGUAUACUUAUGAUGGCUUGUAUACGGUGGAGAAGUAUAGGCAUGAUGUAGGGCCCCACGGUAAGCUUGUUUUCAUGUUUGAAUUGAGGAGAAUUCCAGGUCAACCGGAGCUUGCAUGGAAAGAAGUUAAGAAAUCAAACAAGUUUAAAGCACGUGAAGGACUUCGCGUCGAUGAUAUUUCAGGAGGGAAGGAGUUUUUUCCCAUUUGCGCUGUAAACACCGUGGACAGUGAGUUACCGCCGACAUUUAAUUACAUAAAUGAGAUGAAAUAUCCGGAUUGGUACUGCCCUACUACCCCUAGGGGUUGUGAUUGUAUUGGAGGAUGUUCUGACUCUAAGAAAUGCUCUUGUGUAGUAAAAAAUGGAGGAGAGAUUCCGUACAACCACAAUGGUGCAAUAGUGGAGGCAAAGCCUCUGGUCUACGAGUGUGGUCCUUCUUGCAACUGUCCUCCUUCUUGCUACAAUAGAGUCACCCAGCUUGGCAUUCAAAUCCAACUUGAAAUCUUCAAAACUGAGUCUAGGGGAUGGGGUGUUAGAUCCCUAACUUCUAUUCCUUCGGGGAGUUUUAUAUGCGAGUAUUUUGGGGAGCUUAUUGAAGACAAGGAAGCUGAACAGAGGCACAACGAUGAAUACUUGUUUGACAUUGGGAAAAAUUACAGUGACUGUUGGGCCGCAGAUGGACUUUCUCCUGAGGUGGUGGAGGAGGGUUGUUUCACCAUUGAUGCAGCAGAAUUUGGGAAUGUGGGGAGGUUCAUCAACCAUAGUUGUUCCCCCAACCUUUACGCUCAGAAUGUCCUUUAUGAUCAUGAAGACAAGAAAAUGCCACAUAUAAUGCUCUUUGCCGCUGAGAAUAUUCCACCUUUACAAGAGCUGACUUACCAUUAUAAUUAUUCAGUCGAUCAGGUCCGUGAUUUGAGUGGCAACAUUAAGAUGAAGAACUGUUAUUGUGGUUCUGCAGAGUGCAGUGGCAGGAUGUAUUGAGUUCAAAAGAAGAAAAAUGUUUGGGUUUCUCACCACGUUGUCAUGAAUCAUUGCAAGCAUGUAAUUUUGGGAUGUAUGGAGUAUCUACGCAAGGAAACAUGCAGAUAUGAAUCCGCAUGUGGAGGCAGAGAUCGUAUUGAAUAGAAGAGACGCCUGAAUACAUUCCUAAGCUUUUCAACAGGACAGAAACAUUAGUAGGAAGGCUUCCAUUUGACGGAAGGAAGCGAUAAAAUAAAAGGGGGGGCAAUAAAAUGUUGCUGUCGGGAUCAUAUUAUGAUUUUCUGGCAGCUCGAACAUGAAUCUGUACAUAUCCGUCUGGCAGUGGCUUCUCCAUAUUUUUCUGAAUAAGGACUUUUAUGCCAAGGCAUGGCUGCUAAGAAUCUGGUGGACUAUCUGCCUCCACUGUAGUACUACAGAUGAAUUUUGUGGAAAAUAAGUAAUGAAGUAUGCGACUGGUGGUUUGUGACAGGGUUUACAUUUCUUCUGCCACGGGGAGUUUCUUUCCAAGAAUGCUUGACUGGGUGGAUUUCUGGAUUUGUUCAACUAGAUUGUUACCUGGGACCGAUGAAUUGCUAACCAAGUAUGGCUAAGCCUAAUUGACUACCCUUACACGACAAUGGGUCAGAUUUUGUCGAAGGCUAGAAUUGAUUGUUAUUUCUCAUAUACUAACUAGAGUGGUUAAAUUGCGGACGUGUCCGCGUCCGUGUCCGCAUGCUUCUGUAUAUUAAGUGUUGAACUUUAUUUCGUUAUAUUGAUUGUUAUUCCCCUAGUUGGUUAGCCAAUUCCGAAGCUAGGGAUGGCUACUUUUGUUAGUUUGGUUUAGUUGUUCGGUUACCAUAUUUACUAUUCUUCUUUUGCAAUGGCAAGUGUUACGCCCCCA